ACUUAAAUUGAAGAGUUUGAUCAUGGCUCAGAUUGAACGCUGGCGGCAGGCCUAACACAUGCAAGUCGAGCGGUAGCACAGAGAGCUUGCUCUCGGGUGACGAGCGGCGGACGGGUGAGUAAUGUCUGGGAAACUGCCUGAUGGAGGGGGAUAACUACUGGAAACGGUAGCUAAUACCGCAUAAUGUCGCAAGACCAAAGUGGGGGACCUUCGGGCCUCAUGCCAUCAGAUGUGCCCAGAUGGGAUUAGCUAGUAGGUGGGGUAACGGCUCACCUAGGCGACGAUCCCUAGCUGGUCUGAGAGGAUGACCAGCCACACUGGAACUGAGACACGGUCCAGACUCCUACGGGAGGCAGCAGUGGGGAAUAUUGCACAAUGGGCGCAAGCCUGAUGCAGCCAUGCCGCGUGUGUGAAGAAGGCCUUCGGGUUGUAAAGCACUUUCAGCGGGGAGGAAGGCGAUAAGGUUAAUAACCUUGUCGAUUGACGUUACCCGCAGAAGAAGCACCGGCUAACUCCGUGCCAGCAGCCGCGGUAAUACGGAGGGUGCAAGCGUUAAUCGGAAUUACUGGGCGUAAAGCGCACGCAGGCGGUCUGUCAAGUCGGAUGUGAAAUCCCCGGGCUCAACCUGGGAACUGCAUUCGAAACUGGCAGGCUAGAGUCUUGUAGAGGGGGGUAGAAUUCCAGGUGUAGCGGUGAAAUGCGUAGAGAUCUGGAGGAAUACCGGUGGCGAAGGCGGCCCCCUGGACAAAGACUGACGCUCAGGUGCGAAAGCGUGGGGAGCAAACAGGAUUAGAUACCCUGGUAGUCCACGCCGUAAACGAUGUCGAUUUGGAGGUUGUGCCCUUGAGGCGUGGCUUCCGGAGCUAACGCGUUAAAUCGACCGCCUGGGGAGUACGGCCGCAAGGUUAAAACUCAAAUGAAUUGACGGGGGCCCGCACAAGCGGUGGAGCAUGUGGUUUAAUUCGAUGCAACGCGAAGAACCUUACCUGGUCUUGACAUCCACAGAACUUAGCAGAGAUGCUUUGGUGCCUUCGGGAACUGUGAGACAGGUGCUGCAUGGCUGUCGUCAGCUCGUGUUGUGAAAUGUUGGGUUAAGUCCCGCAACGAGCGCAACCCUUAUCCUUUGUUGCCAGCGGUCCGGCCGGGAACUCAAAGGAGACUGCCAGUGAUAAACUGGAGGAAGGUGGGGAUGACGUCAAGUCAUCAUGGCCCUUACGACCAGGGCUACACACGUGCUACAAUGGCAUAUACAAAGAGAAGCGACCUCGCGAGAGCAAGCGGACCUCAUAAAGUAUGUCGUAGUCCGGAUUGGAGUCUGCAACUCGACUCCAUGAAGUCGGAAUCGCUAGUAAUCGUAGAUCAGAAUGCUACGGUGAAUACGUUCCCGGGCCUUGUACACACCGCCCGUCACACCAUGGGAGUGGGUUGCAAAAGAAGUAGGUAGCUUAACCUUCGGGAGGGCGCUUACCACUUUGUGAUUCAUGACUGGGGUGAAGUCGUAACAAGGUAACCGUAGGGGAACCUGCGGUUGGAUCACCUCCUUACCUUAAAGAA
rnacentral:rRNA from 1 species